rnacentral:rRNA from 1 species
UGAGGAACAUGACCCUCGGCGGGGGAUAGCCGGCCCAACGGCCGGGUAAUACCGCGUACGACCACAUGGGGACAUCCCUGAGUGGUGAAAGCAGCAAUGCGCCGAUGGAGUGCCUCGCGGCCUAUCAGCUAGUUGGUGAGGUAACGGCUCACCAAGGCAACGAUGCGUAGCCGACCUGAGAGGGUGAUCGGCCACAUUGGAACUGAGACACGGUCCAGACUCUACGGGAG